rnacentral:rRNA from 1 species
CGGGAGGCAGCAGUUAGGAAUCUUCCCCAAUGGGCGCAAGCCUGAGGGAGCGACACUGCGUGAAGGAUGAAGGUUUUCGGAUCGUAAACUUCUGAACGAGGGACGAACAAUGACGGUACCUCGCUAAAAGCACCGGCUAACUCCGUGCCAGCAGCCGCGGUAAUCCGGAGGGUGCAAGCGUUAUCCGGAAUCACUGGGCGUAAAGGGCACGUAGGCGGUCUAUUAAGUCCGAUGUUAAAGCGUGGGGCUCAACCCCAUCACGGCGUUGGAUACUGAUAGGCUUGACGACUGGAGAGGUGAGUAGAAUUACCAGUGUAGCGGUGGAAUGCGUAGAUACUGGUAGGAAUACCCAUUGCGAAGGCAGCUCACUGGACAGUACGUGACGCUGAGGUGCGAAAGUGUGGGGAGCAAACCGGAUUAGAUACCCGGGUAGUCCACACCCUAAAC